GACGAACGCGGCGGCGUGCCUAAUACAUGCAAGUAGAACGCUGAAGGAGGAGCUUGCUUCUCUGGAUGAGUUGCGAACGGGUGAGUAACGCGUAGGUAACCUGCCUGGUAGCGGGGGAUAACUAUUGGAAACGAUAGCUAAUACCGCAUAAGAGUAGAUGUUGCAUGACAUUUGCUUAAAAGGUGCAAUUGCAUCACUACCAGAUGGACCUGCGUUGUAUUAGCUAGUUGGUGGGGUAACGGCCCACCAAGGCGACGAUACAUAGCCGACCUGAGAGGGUGAUCGGCCACACUGGGACUGAGACACGGCCCAGACUCCUACGGGAGGCAGCAGUAGGGAAUCUUCGGCAAUGGACGGAAGUCUGACCGAGCAACGCCGCGUGAGUGAAGAAGGUUUUCGGAUCGUAAAGCUCUGUUGUAAGAGAAGAACGAGUGUGAGAGUGGAAAGUUCACACUGUGACGGUAUCUUACCAGAAAGGGACGGCUAACUACGUGCCAGCAGCCGCGGUAAUACGUAGGUGGCAAGCGUUAUCCGGAUUUAUUGGGCGUAAAGAGAGUGCAGGCGGUUUUCUAAGUCUGAUGUGAAAGCCUUCGGCUUAACCGGAGAAGUGCAUCGGAAACUGGAUAACUUGAGUGCAGAAGAGGGUAGUGGAACUCCAUGUGUAGCGGUGGAAUGCGUAGAUAUAUGGAAGAACACCAGUGGCGAAGGCGGCUACCUGGUCUGCAACUGACGCUGAGACUCGAAAGCAUGGGUAGCGAACAGG
rnacentral:rRNA from 1 species